AUUGAACGCUGGCGGAAUGCUUUACACAUGCAAGUCGAGCGGCAGCGCGGCCUUCGGGCUGGCGGCGAGCGGCGAACGGGUGAGUAAUGCAUCGGAACAUGCCCAGUCGUGGGGGAUAACACUUCGAAAGAAGUGCUAAUACCGCAUACGUCCUGAGGGGGAAAGCGGGGGAUCGCAAGACCUCGCGCGAUUGGAGUGGCCGAUGUCAGAUUAGCUAGUUGGUGGGGUAAAGGCCUACCAAGGCGACGAUCUGUAGCUGGUCUGAGAGGAUGAUCAGCCACACUGGAACUGAGACACGGCCCAGACUCCUACGGGAGGCAGCAGUGGGGAAUUUUGGACAAUGGGGGCAAGCCUGAUCCAGCCAUUCCGCGUGAGUGAAGAAGGCCUUCGGGUUGUAAAGCUCUUUCGGCAGGAACGAAACGGUGGGCUCUAACAUAGUCCGCUAAUGACGGUACCUGAAGAAGAAGCACCGGCUAACUACGUG
rnacentral:rRNA from 1 species